UGGGGAAUAUUGCGCAAUGGGGGCAACCCUGACGCAGCAACGCCGCGUGAAGGAAGACGGUUUUCGGAUUGUAAACUUCUUUUGUCGAGGACGAUAAUGACGGUACUUGACGAAUAAGCCACGGCUAACUACGUGCCAGCAGCCGCGGUAAUACGUAGGUGGCAAGCGUUGUCCGGAAUUACUGGGUGUAAAGGGCGAGUAGGCGGGACUGCAAGUCAGAUGUGAAAUCCCCGGGCUUAACCCGGGAACCGCAUUUGAAACUGUAGUUCUUGAGUCGAUGGAGAGGCAGGCGGAAUUCCCGGUGUAGCGGUGGAAUGCGUAGAUAUCGGGAGGAACGCCAGUGGCGAAGGCGGCCUGCUGGACAUUAACUGACGCUGAGGAGCGAAAGCGUGGGGAGCAAACAGGAUUAGAUACCCUGGUAGU
rnacentral:rRNA from 1 species